rnacentral:misc_RNA from 1 species
GAUGAAGAACGUAGCGAAAUGCGAUAAGUAAUGUGAAUUGCAGAAUUCAGUGAAUCAUCGAAUCUUUGAACGCACAUUGCGCCCGCCAGCACUCUGGUGGGCAUGCCUGUUCGAGCGUCAUUUCAACCAUCAAGCCCCCAGGGGCUUGUGCUGGGGCCCUGCGGCUGCCCGCAGGCCCUGAAAACCAGUGGCGGGCUCGCUAGUCACACCGAGCGCAGUAGCACAUCUCGCUCAGGGCGUGCGGCGGGCUCCUGCCGUGAAACCCCCCACUGUAACCCCAAAGGUUGACCUCGGAUCAGGUAGGAAUACCCGCUGAACUUAAGCAUAUCAAUAAGCGGAGGA